GAAUGACGUUUUUUCUAAUUUGGCGGAAAACGGAAAGGUCAUUUUUGGCGGAAACCGGCGACACCCGUUUGUAGACUGAGUAAAAUUAAUUGUUUUUAAGAUUUAUUAAAAUUAUUAGCAUUUAAAAGUUUAGAUUUGAUUUUUUUUGGUUUUUAAAGGAUUAACAUCGAAAUUCAAUACUUCCUCUCCUAAACAGAAGAUUUUAUACCCACUUAAAUACUGGACAUCGCAGUGCUAUAAAAACGCAUAGGAAUUAAAUCACUGUGCCUAGGGCCAAGGCUGCAACUGAAAAAAAAUUCAGAGGGAAGGGUUCAACAAUUUUUUUAAAUAUAAAUACUGAAAAUUUAUAGUCAAUUAACUUUAUUCAACUUUUUUCAAAUUUUUACAUCUGAACAUUUACAAUAAUUAUACUAUAAUAAUUAUUAUAUCGUUUUUUAUUUUUUAUUUUAUUUGGUGGAAACGUAUAUUGGUGGAAAAGGGAAAGAUACACUUGGUGGAAAAGGGAAAGGUACACUUUUGGUGGAAACGGGCAUCGCCUGUGAGAACACGAUGGUGCUAUCUCUUGACCAGCAAGGAUAUGAGAAGUAUGACGGAGAAAACUGAUCAUUUAAGAGACCCUUAGCUGGUUAGGAGUUAAGACUCUUAACAGACAUGAUUUACGAGAGUUAGCACGAGUACCUUAACGCAAAUCUAUGUCGGGAUCUCGUCAUUGGACUUAAAAUACAGUAGACGCCGCUUAUAAGACUCAUGGAUAUAACGUUCAGUCGCUUAUUAGACUCCAAAUCGUCUAAAUCGUCCGGACCUAUCAAAUUACAUUAAAAAAAAAAUCGGUUAUAAGACUCAAAUUUCGUAAGAUAAAUGGAAGAAAAUAAGCUUUUUUGGUUAUAAUAUAGAAAUAAAUUGGUAUUGAAAAAUUAAACAAUAUUAGUGUUGAUUAUUUGUUGAUAAGUUCACAUUUAUCGCAACGAUUAUCGUUAUAUUAUAUUUUCGGAAUAUUAGAACAAAAUAAUAAACAAACUAAAAUUACAUACAUCCUUUAUAAUUUGUUAUUAAUGUAUGAUUUUUAUAAUAUUUUUAUAUGUAAUAUUUUCCUAUUAUAAUUUUAGUUUUUUUUAUCAAGAUUAAUAAAUUUAUUCAAUAAUAAGUAUGCAAUAUGUGUAUGUGCCCAACACAUAAGGUCAAUCGAUGAUGGCAUGGUAAGAGAAAUGGAUGUUUAUGAGCGUACGGAAGAUCAGCAUUGUUGAGAAAUGCUCACUCUCAGAAAUCCAUUCUCAUCAACGAACGGGUCUAAUUUUCGAAUUGCAAGAGAGCAACGCAAUCCUUUAGAUAAAAAUGUGAAUGUCGUCGGAGUAUGAUGUUUGUUGGACGAAAUAAACUAAGGCCAACAAAGCUGGCGCUCGUUCACUCAUUCGCUCACUCGUUCACUCGUAAAGUCAGAGGGGCGUGAGGUAGAGAGACGAAGACAAUAUGCCACAAUAUUAAUAAUUUUGUUGAACGACGAGAAACGAUGGAGAACUUUAGUAACGGAGCAAGUAUUUAUAGUUAGAAGAACCGUACACUUUCGAGCUUCAGUGGAGAAGUGAUCAUUGGUUUUAUCUAAAUGAGGUACAGCAGAUGGCCAAGUUUCAGAUGGUGCUAACAGGAACGCAGGACCUGUCCACCAAAGUGGAUGAGCAACCAGUUCCGACGGAAACAGUCAACCGGAUUGUCCUGUGUGGGGACAUGGUGCCAAAUGUCUGAGGAGGUUAAUUCGUAAAUUUGGCUAGUUCGAUUUGCAACAAACGUAGCCCAACGAUGGGGAGACGAUUGUAUCCAUGCUAACGCAGUGGUUGAAUCCGUCCAAGCAUGUCAUCAAUUUGAAGACUCUUCGAGUAGGUAUCAACAACGAAACGUAGGAGUUUGGCGGCUAAAACAGAUCCACACAGCUCAAGACGGGGGAUAGUAGACCGUUUAAGGGGCGCUACUUUGAAUUUAUCGGUAAUAAGGUGACAAUGAACCGAAACCACUGUUACUGUUCGAAGGUAUACGGCCGCUGCGUAUCCUUUUUCUGAGCUGUCCGAGAAAGCGUGAAGCUGCACAUUGAUCGUAUUGUCGUGGGUUAUUUGACGAAGAAUGGAAAUCGAUUCAAUCAACUUCAGUUCUGAUUGAUAUCGCGUCCACAGUACAGUAAUAUCAGUGGGUAUGUUAUCGUCCCACGUGAUCCCAGCUGUCCAAAACUGUUGCAUAACGUGUUUGGUCCAAAAUGUUAUGGGAGCCAGCAAUCCCAACGGAUCGAAGACUCUGGAAAUGUCAGAGAAUACUGAUUGUUUUGUCGGGAUGGUUGAUGAUGGUUUAGUAUUAAAGGAAAACACGUCAGAUCUUGGAUCUCAUUUUAAUCCAAGUAUUUUUAAAUCAAAAUCAUCAGUGUCGUUGUACAGAAUGACUGGAGACAUUGCUUGAAAUUCUGUUGGAACAGCUUGCAAAAUAGUACUGUUGUUGCUCUCCUAUUUUCUCAGGUCAAAUUUUGCUAAUGAACACAAGUUGAUGAGUUGAGAUUGGUAUUCAAGGACAUUCUUUUCGGUGUUAGCUCCAGUGAGAAUGUCAUCUAUGAAGGUGUCGUUCGUGAAAAUUGACGCAGCAAUUGGAAAUGAUUUUCCAUCAACGGUGGCCAAUUCCUAGAGUGUCCGAAAAGCUUGGUAAAGCGCUGCUGAUGUGCCAUAAGUAACCGUACAGAGACGAUAUUCCUGCACGGGGGUAUCUUUUGAAAAUCUCCAGAGGAUUUUCAGGUAAUCUCGAUCAGUAGGCCGGACCAUUAUUUGUUGGUACAUCUGUUUGAUGUCUGUCAUGAAGACAUAUUUCCAUAGUCGUGCAUGAAGAAGAACAACUUGAAUGUCAGGCUGAAGUUUUGCACCUGUAUACAUGCUUUCGUUCAAGGAAUAUCCGGCACUUGUGCGAGCGAAUGCAUUGAAAACGUCACGAAGCUUUGUGGUGCUACUAUCAGGUCUAAAUACACAAUGGUGCGGGAUAUAGUAGUGAAAAACGUUGACGACUCGUUCGAGUGGAAUCAGUUCCAUGUGACCUGCGUCCAGAUAGUCCUGCAUGAAAUUGGCGUACUGACUUUGAAGUGGCAAUUCAUGAUUUAGUCGGUUUUCGAGCGCCUGGAAACGACGAACGCCAGCAAAUUUUGAAUCACCUAACAGAGGUGAUGCCUUCCGAAAUGGAAGAGAGACCAUAAAUCUUCAGACCUCAAUCGAGUGGUUGUCAUUUUAUAAUGUUCUUCUGCAGCACGUUCAUCAGGACUGAGAUGGCAAACAGUAGGCAACUCUUCGAGUUCCCAAAACCGCCCAUGGACGAAUAGAGACUUUCAGAAAUGGAUAGAAACAUUGCAGUGACAGUUGAUUGACAACGAUUUUCGACAAGUCCCAUCAGAAUCCAACCGAACACGGUUUCGAGGGCAAUAGGCUCACCAAGUUGACCUGCGGCUUUGCCGUUUAGAAACAGCAUUGGCAAGAUAUCGGCACCCAACAACAAAUCGAUUGACUGAGGGCAAUGGUACAAUGGAUCAGCGAGAGGUAGGUUGGUAAUAUGGCUCCAUUGUCCCGGCAUAAUAGGAGUCUGAGGCGUAGGUCCUGUGAUUUGUGGGACGAUGAGCGCGUCCACACAAAACGAUGUUUUGCAACUGUUGAAGGAUGUCGCUUAAGCAUUAACACACAUGCAGUUUGUUCAGUGAUAAAACUCGCUUGAGCACCACUAUCGAACAAGGCUCUAAUAGAGUGACGGGUACCGUCAGCAGCAAUCACAUCAAGUAAGACAGUAGAAAUUAAUACAAGUUUUGAGGCUGUCCUCUGACAAUCAUCGAUGCGGCACUCGGACCUGCCUCAGUUUCACUUGCCGUGAGAACUGCGGUGGAGGUCGAUGAGCUGUCUUUGGAAUUGAAAUGCAAAAAGCUGUGGUGAGACCGAUCACAGGUUGUGCAUUUGUAUUUCGAACUACAGGAGGCGGUGGAGUGUCCAGAUCCAAGAUAAUUUAUGCAUAACCGAUGCGUUUUAGCUAACUGGAAUCGCUCAUUUGGUGAUUUUGAAAUAAAAGAUGGGCUUAUUCGAGCCAUAAGAGGUUUGGUGCACAAUGGACAGGUGACCGGAUUGAAUGAGCUCGUAGUGGCCGCUAGAACCUUUGGUAAAAUCGCGUGACGAGGUUUUAAACUAAAUAUUUUUUAAGGAGGUUUCUGUUGAGACGUGAGCGAACUUAAAGUUGACGUGUACUGCCCAGCACGCGCUUCCGCUGACCGUACAUGACUUCUCAGAAAUUCAAGAAAAUCAUUGGUAGAUGGCUGAUGUCGGUCACCCACAGUUAUCUCCCAACGAGCUCGGAGGUCAUAGUCCAGAUGAUUUUAAAAAAUGUGAACCAAUAUCGGGCUCCACUGCCGAGUAACAAAAUCCAAAUUAUCCAAAGCAGCAGUAUGCUCUUGAAUAGAUGUUAUUAAAGUUUUAAUAGACAAGGCAUAAUUUGACUUGACGGUGUGUGGGGAUAACAGAGCGUCCAAGUGAAUACGAGCUAAGUCACGCUUAUUUCCAUACCGUGAACGUAGGACUUCCCAAGCUUUUGGAUAAUUUUCCUAUGCAAGAGGAAGAUGGGCUAUAAGUGAUAAACCUUCAUCUUCUAGCGAGGUUUUUAAAUAUUCGAAACGCUCAACGUCAGGAAGAUCUGGAGCAUGAGAUAGAAUCGAUGUGAAAAAAUCUUCAAAACCCUGCCAUUCCGUUAUAAAUCCAGAAAAUGUAGGAAAUUUUCGUUUUGGAAGUUGAUAAUAUGACAAGUUUCCAAAACCACCUGACUGAUUUUGCACUGACCGAGAAUGGGACGUUUCCAUUAUGGUUGACAAAGAUAAACUAUACACAUCUGCGAAUGCAGCCAACUCGUAAUAGAGAUCAUCAAAAUCAGCAGAGAGUUUAAGGCUUGUUGAGUUAUCUACAACUUCAACAGUGACUAAUCUUUUACCAACAGCAUUUUCCAUAACUUGGAUAUUAUCUUCUGUGGUCUGACGAAUUUCGCUCAGCUCUAAUAGCAUGGUACAGAUUUUAGCUCGUUUACCAGGAUUAUGUUUAUCGGCUUUAAACUCACCCGCUGCAACGACAAACGAAGUGAUUUUAGCAAUGGCACGGACGACCCGUGAUUUUGCAUCGACAUACGUAAUAGAAGAUUCUGGAGCCAUAAUGACAGACAAAAAUCAAAGUAGUAUUGUAGCUCGACGAACAGAUACAAAAUGUUAUUAUGACACUAGUAACUAGUACUAUAAGAUAGCGACAGUAUCGUGGUGUAGAUUUAAUUUAAUCUAUCAUACUAGUGAGACAAAAAGUAUUGAACAUGUGUUAUUUUCGGUCAAGGUUUAUUGUUACGAUCCGGUUCGAAGGAUCAAAAAAUGUAUGCGCCUAACACUAUGGGCUCUCGAAGGACCACUCGGUAAUGCCCGAGAACAAUAAGUGCCAAAAACGGCCAAUUCUAAAUCUAAACGCCGACUAAGUGGCAGGUAGGCAACCAAAUAUAUUUACGCCUUAUAAAUUGCGAGUAGGCAAUAUAUGUGCACGACGAUGACACGGAGGAACGGGGAGAUAUAUAUAUAUAUAUAAUAAGGGAAGUAGGAUGAUACAAGCUAUUUUAAUGGGGCCGAGGGGCCCUGUGGUCGAUCCGGUCUGGUGCAAUAACCACAGGGGGGAACUACCAAUAUGGGACAACUUAAAACUACUUAUAACUAAGGCAGGUGCUGGCGGGCUGGUGGCUGGUGGGCUGAUGACUGGUACGACUAGACGACCGGGGCGGCCUCUUACACAACCCACAAUGGGUGCUGGCGGACUUACGCGGAACAGACAGCGACCAUAGACGACGGGUGAAUAGUGAGCUCCCAGUACGUAGACCCAAAAUAGACGGUGUCGUAGGACGGUUGAGUGAGUUGGUGAGCAGUUAGUGCCCAGCUUUCAGUCACACAUAUGUGACCAGAAGAAUACUGAGAAACAAAUAAAUAAAAAACUCACUCAACUGUUGCAGACGUCGUUGAUUUAUUUAAUAUAACAUUUAAUAUUAAAUAUAAUGAGAGUUGAAUAUGUGUUCGCGUCGCAAUGACGUCGAGACACAACAAUAAAAAUAAUAAUGUGUAACGACGAGAGUUGUUUACAUGUUAUUGAAACAAAAAAAAAAAGGAGGUGCUAUUAGAGCGACCGUAUACAAAAAAAACGAUGUAUAAAAGAAUAAUAUACAACAAAAAAGGCGUUGGCCACUGAAUAAUAAUAAUAAGAAAAAUCAGUAAUACGAAUGAUAUGACAAAAAAUAUGAUAAUAAAACAUAUGCGGCAAAAGGCCGACCAGUAAUUGUUGUACAGAAAAAUAUAUAAACAAAGAGAAUAAAUAACAAUAAUAUUCUAAAUUAUAAGAGUUACAUGAUUAAGGACGGAGUGGAAUAUGGGGAGGAAACAAGGUAAGUAAAAGACGGUGUCGUCGUCGCGCAUAAUUACAUCCAGAGAUAAGCAACAUGUUUGGCGCGAACAAUAUGUAAUAUGUGUUAAAGUAUUAAAAUUAAAGCAAAAUAUGUAGUAAAAUAAAAUUUAUAAAUACGUAAUUAAUUUUUUUUUCCAUUUCGCCUAUAAGAUUCAUUUGGUUUUGAAACUCACUUUGUGCUGGUCCCUAAAGUGAGUUUUAUACGCGGCGUCUACUGUAUUUAGUCAUCUUUAUUUAAUAUCACCACGACUACUUCAUACAUUUUUAACGAUUAGUUGAUUGGCUCAUUAGUCACUACAUUAUACUUAUCCAAUUACUAUUUUGCCAAACUCAUGCCGUAUGGUACACACUUAUUGUGCUUGUUUCUUGCUAAAUAACAGUUAUUUUACCAAAAUUUCUUUUGACAAAGCAACUCCUAUCAAUAUUUUUAAAAUUUAGAUAAUGCAAUGUUUGUAAUUUGUGUAUUUAUCGUUUAUAUAAACUACUUAAAAAACGCCAAUUUGUUAAUUAUUAUUAUUUAUUAUGACCAUUAUGUAUCUUUGUAAUAGAAAUUUCAAAUUUGGAUAAUUAAAAUAAAUGAUUAUAGUUUAGAUUCAUUCUAUAAAUAAUACAUUUUUUUUUUCCGAUAGAUUACAAUUACACAUACGACAAAUAUACAUAUGAAAAUAAUAAAAUGACCCAAAAUUAUUUUGUUAAGUUGAAAACAUGUCGGGUUAUUAUAGAAGAAAAAUAUGAAACAUACAUACUAAGGCUAAAAGUUAUUGGAUGUAUACCAUUACCCCACCGGUACUGGAUAAAUGAACGAGGUGAAAUAUCAAAAGUUGUCAAAUAGCUUCCAUUUUCAUAUACAAAUGUGUUUCGUGAUAUCUAUAUUCAAAAUAUCAACAUUUUAUUUUGUAUACAAUUGCAUAUUUUACCGUUUUUUAUUUUUAAGUGCAUUAUUAUUGUUACAAAAUUGUUACAAAAUAAGUAUAUUGUAUGUCUAAUGACAGUUAUUUUACAAUUGAAUAGCAAUUAAAUUAUCUUUAUAAGUUAUAUAAUAAAAUUUUAAUCUAGUUAGUAAAGUUAUUUAGCACUUAUAUACUUAUGGAAUUUAAUAAUAAUGUAAAAAGGUAUACAUAGCCAAGUUACAUGGGCAUACAUUAGAAUGAAAAAAAAUGGUAUUUUCACCCACAAUAUUAUAUAACACUAGCGCAACAACGUAGGUACCUACCUAUUAUAAUUAUAAUUUAGUUAAAAAGUUUAAUUAUUUAAAAUAAAGAUAUUUUAUGUUGAAAAAAA